CCUACGGGUGGCAGCAGUGAGGAAUAUUGGUCAAUGGACGAGAGUCUGAACCAGCCAAGUAGCGUGAAGGAUGACUGCCCUAUGGGUUGUAAACUUCUUUUAUAUGGGAAUAAAAUGUUCCACGUGUGGGAUUUUGUAUGUACCAUAUGAAUAAGGAUCGGCUAACUCCGUGCCAGCAGCCGCGGUAAUACGGAGGAUCCGAGCGUUAUCCGGAUUUAUUGGGUUUAAAGGGAGCGUAGGUGGAUUGUUAAGUCAGUUGUGAAAGUUUGCGGCGCAACCGUAAAAUUGCAGUUGAAACUGGCAGUCUUGAGUACAGUAGAGGUGGGCGGAAUGCGUGGUGUAGCGGUGAAAUGCUUAGAUAUCACGAAGAACUCCGAUUGCGAAGGCAGUUCACUGGACUGCAACUGACACUGAGGCUCGAAAGUGUGGGUAUCAAACAGGAUUAGAUACCCCUGUAGUC
rnacentral:rRNA from 1 species